rnacentral:rRNA from 1 species
UACGGAGGGUGCAAGCGUUAUCCGGAUUCACUGGGGUUAAAGGGUGCGUAGGCGGGUUGGUAAGUCCGUGGUGAAAUCCCCAAGCUUAACUUGGGAACUGCCGUGGAUACUAUCAAUCUUGAAUAUCGUGGAGGUAAGCGGAAUAUGUCAUGUAGCGGUGAAAUGCUUAGAUAUGACAUAGAACACCAAUGGCGUAGGCAGCUUACUACACGAUCAUUGACGCUGAGGCACGAAAGCGUGGGGAGCAAACAGG